rnacentral:tRNA from 1 species
AAAAUUUAGUUAAAUUAUAACAUUAGUUUGUCAAACUAAAAUUAUCAAAAUUGAUAAUUUUUU